GAUGAACGCUGGCGGCGUGCCUAAUACAUGCAAGUCGAGCGAACAGACGAGGAGCUUGCUCCUCUGACGUUAGCGGCGGACGGGUGAGUAACACGUGGAUAACCUACCUAUAAGACUGGGAUAACUUCGGGAAACCGGAGCUAAUACCGGAUAAUAUAUUGAACCGCAUGGUUCAAUAGUGAAAGACGGUUUUGCUGUCACUUAUAGAUGGAUCCGCGCCGCAUUAGCUAGUUGGUACGGUAACGGCUUACCAAGGCAACGCUGCGUAGCCGACCUGAGAGGGUGGUCGGCCACACUGGAACUGGGACACGGUCCAGACUCCUACGGGAGGCAGCAGUAGGGAAUCUUCCGCAAUGGGGGAAAGCCUUACGGAGCAACGCCGCGUGAGUGAUGAAGGUCUUCGGAUCGUAAAACUCUGUUAUUAGGGAAGAACAAAUGUGUAAGUAACUAUGCACGUCUUGACGGUACCUAAUCAGAAAGCCACGGCUAACUACGUG
rnacentral:rRNA from 1 species